rnacentral:ncRNA from 1 species
GCAAAAACUAUGAAAAGAAGAGUACCUUAAAACCCAAAUUUACAGAGAGCUGGCGUUGGUGGAAGUUGGCAAUUUAUUUUAAGAGAAGAACAUCUUGGAGUUUCUAACUGAAAAAAUUAUUAUUUUAGUAGGCUUAGACGGGAUUAGACCGUUAUAUCUAAAACUAAGAGAGUCAACUUUUUGGCUAAUUAGGGUGGUACCACGGAAAAAGCUUCGUCCCUUAU